rnacentral:rRNA from 2 species
GGAUGCGAUCAUACCAGCACUAAAGCACCGGAUCCCAUCAGAACUCCGAAGUUAAGCGAUGGGUGACCUCCUGGGAAGUCCUCGUAUUGCAUUCC